UUUUUUUAGGUUUUCUUUUCAAGUUUGGUUUGGAACAACAAGACGGUGUUGUUGUUUCACUGUAGAAAUAAUGUGCUCUUUGUUUUUACCCUUUCGUUGUCGUGCUUAUCGUCGGUGGGCGUGGAGCCGUCUCUCCCGCAGGUCUUUCGAGAUUCGAUUAAUUUAGGUUUUCGUUGGAUCCAUCUGGAUUUAUGGUUUUUGUUGUCUUCGAAAUUUCUUCAAGCCCUUAUAUGCGCUUUCUUCUCCGAGCCACUCGCCGUCAAUGUAGAAUGAUGUCGUUGAAAAGAAUGGAAUGUUGUUUCGCUCUGCUGGAUGCGUCGAAUACCAUAUAAGAUGCUCACUCUUUACCCCUGAGUAUAUCCCACCUUAUCUUAGAACGGUCUUGCGACUAUUUGCUUCGCAGAUCACGGCUGUUGUCGUCUCUUGAUCUACAUCAAUGAUUUUUCAGCCACUGUCUCUACAAACUCAUGGGUUAAAAAAUUGCUCUGCCUAGGCGAAGGUCCAAAGACGACAUCAAACUAUGCUCACAGCGUGUCGCCUAUGGAUGCAGGAGGAAGAAGACUUGGGCACCCCCAAAUAUUUAAAUAUGAAUUAUUAGUUUUUGUAUGUAUGUGUUUGUAAGGACAUGUUUGAUUCGAUCGGAGGGCGGACGAUAUACCCCUCCUUUAUAAUCUGGACAAUCCCCUUUCUGAGUUAAUAAAUUCCCUUUUACCUUGAGAAAAAGGACGUGCGAUAUUUAAUAUAUAGCAUUAGGCCCUUUCGCAAAAAUUAUAAAAAUACAAAGUGUCGUAUAUUUGAGGAUUAAUUCUUUUAUCACAAAAUGCAUGACCUUGGACAUUCAAAUACUUAAUUUCAUACCCUGCAAAAGAAACUUAAUUCCAUACCACGCAUAAAAAGCAUCAUGGGAGUAGAACUCGAGUAUACUUCUUUUGCGCAGGGAAAGAAACUUGUGUACUUGGUCAACGUCUUUACUUGCUUUUCGGUUUCGGGGAAGAUACGUAAUUUACCGACCACCAACCCAAAUAAUAUGUCGUGAUAGAGAACAUUGUUGAGUACUCAACAUUGUUAGUAGCUGUAGCCAUCAAGCCAAAUAAAAUAGAGCAUAUUGUUAGCUGUAAUCCGCUAGUAGUGUGUUUGGUUGCUAUCCUCACAAGUCGCUCUCCUGGUUUCACAUUAUUUCCAAUUAUGUCCUUCUGUUUCUGUUCAUGCAAACUCAACACACCCCUUUCCUAGCACAAAGUGUAAAGUCAAGAAAUGCGUGCUUAGAAAACACGAUUAGACACAACCAAGGACAAAUUAAGGCGAUUGGAGAUUAAUGUUGUCACUGACAGUGACCCCGUGUAAUGGUCCAAACUGUCGCCUGCUGUCGUGAGCAGGCAGGACAAUAUAGAAGCACCGAAUCAUCAUCAAACAAUCCGAUAUAUCUCCUUCGUUUUCGAGAUCUCAAAAAUGAUCAUAUUAUCAGUGCAUACAUAGAGUAUACUCCAUAUUAUAACACACAUUGCAUUUCAAUUGACGCCAGACGACGUCUGCUUCAGAUGCCAGGGAACAGAGACUGACGUGCAAGCACGAGAGAAUAUCUGUUGUGGUACUGGUACAGCAGGAGAGAAGCGCAUCAUGUUUUGGUACCAUCCAUACCAUACUGGCGCACAUAGAAAACACAAUAUCAGUAUCUUCAACAAGUGGACAAAUGUUCUAUUGCUCACAUUGACUGGUUGUCUUGUCCAGACCAAACUGCUCAUGCCACAAACUUUUAUUUUCGGAGAUCAACAUAUCUUUUGGUGUACACUAAUCCAAUGUAUAUUCUAGGAUACAGGUUUGGUACAAAACUGCAAACUGCUUAGCAAAACCCUGAAAUGUGGCAGAUGAAAGAGAGGGAGGAGAAUAUAUAAGAGGGCCUUCUCGUUCCAAGGCGGGUAUUAUGCAUUUAUGCUAGAUCUGGUGCCAACGCAGGUGUACUGUUCGCAGAGCCGAUUGGUUCUUGUAGGGCAAGGUUCAGCGGGAACAUCUCGCAUUGAGCAACAUGUGCCAUCAGUUGGUCCAUGAGGACCAAUGCGGCCAUCGUCUCCACCAUUGGAACAGCUACAAAAGCAAUGACGGGGGAAAGAUCAGAUGAUAGGACACUACUUCCUCUGUGAACUGCAAAAAUGUCUUAUAUUUAGAGAUACCAGAGGGAGUACUAGAUAACAAAAGGUAGAAUAUUAGAUGGGUCCAUUACCCCGAGGGACAACACAUGGGUCAUGGCGACCCCUUGUCUUUAGUUCGAUAUCCUCAUGAUCCCUUGUUACAGUAUUUUGCUUCUUCUGGAAAAAUGAAAUUAAUACCUCAGAUAAAUGGCUAUAUAAACAACUGUUCCACAUGUAGCAUGCAUGAAAUAUUGCCCUACUAUACUCCAACGGAAAGAAAGCAAAUGUUUUGCAACAAAUAAACAUUUUAAUAUUCAUAGCUGCUAACAAGUUUAAUACUUGACAUAGCAGUGGUUAUAAGUUGUUACGGCAUAAUAUCAUAGUUCUUGUCAUUCGAAAAGCAUGCCAUGGAACAUUGCUACCCUUUCAAUAACAUUUUCUCUGUUUUGUGAUUCUGAAAGGAAGUUCUCUGCACCGGAAUGGCUUACCCCAAUAGUUGCUGUUGGCUUGAAAGCUACUUUGAAGUAUAUAGUUUCACCAUUUGAUAUCCCUCCCUGCAUGAACACAAAUUAACAAUGUACUGUCACACUUCUGAUUUUAAGUACUCCCUCCGUUCCUAAAUAUAAGUCUUUGUAGAGAUUUCAAUAUGAACCACAUACGGAUGUAUAUAGAUGCAUUUCAAGCUUAGAUUCAUUCAUUUUGCUCCGUAUGUAGUCCAUCUAGUGGAAUCUCUAUAAAGACUUAUAUUUAGGAACGGAGGGAGUAUUGAAAAUGAACAUUGUAAUAGUAAAGCAGGGUGCUUUGAUAAAUACCUGUACACCGCCUGAGCGAUUGGUUCGUGUUCUCACAUUUCCAGCCUCAUCCAUAUAAAACUCAUCGUUAUGCUCACUUCCAGUUAGGUCAGUACCUGCGAACAAGUUACUAAUAGUCAGGCGAUUUGGAAAGUAGGAGGCAUUCCCACAGCAACUAAUUUUGUGCAAACCAAUUUCCUACCUGCAAAUCCACUACCGAUCUCAAACCCCUUGCUUGCAGGAAGAGAAAGCAUAGCCUUUGCCAGUAGAGCUUCAAGUUUGUCAAAUACAGGAGAGCCAAGCCCCUAUAAAUUAUACCAGCAGGCAGAAGACAAUGCAUUACUAUUACUGAAUUAUGUCAACGAAGAUUGUGCAACAAAUAUGAUGUAUGAUAAUCAUGAGUCGAGAACAAAAUAGAGUGAGGCCUUGUUUGGUUUAUUAUGCUGGAACACACCAAAAUCAACAUAACAGAAUCUUAAUCUUAAUACUUACACGAGGAACAUUUCUGGCAAUGCAUGUGACCACCCCACCAAUCGAAUUCCCAUUAAUCCGUACUUUAUCAAUUGCAUCAAUCAUCUUCUGUGCAUAUUCUGGAUCAGGACAUCUACAAAUGUUGCUCUCUAUCUGGAAAUUAAAAAAAAAUAAAAAAUCCAGUAAAUCACUGAGAGUAUCCUGUACUGUUAGUUAAGAGGGUGGCAACCACGGACCUGAUCCAGGGUAAGAGUUUCGUAAUCAACUGCGUCUUCAGGAAGUACCACUUGAUGCACUUUGGAAACAAAUGCUAGAAUCUGCAGGUAAAUAUUUAUCCGCCAUAAGGUACUGAAAAAUUAAGAGAUAACCACAAAAUAUGCCCUUCUGCGUGGGAAUGAAAUGGUGAAAUAAAUCAGUAUUCACUGCAGCACGAUACAGAUUGCUCUAUGCAACAGUAUACAAGAUGGAUCGAAGUACAUAGACAACUGAGUUGUCAUAUUUAGGUCAAGCAAGAACUGAAAUAAAAGCAAAAUAAAGAGGGGCCAUCCAAUAGGAAAACCACUGCUUAUUUGCAAAAUCCAGAGAUGCUAAUAUUUAAUUAAGACAAAAGUUGAAUGCUUCGACAUAUUUAGGAUGUAUCCACAUGCAAGUUUUCUUUAUUCAGGCUAUAUUGUUUAUCAAGCAGUAACCAGGGGAGUGACAAGGCUUGGUUACAGAUGCGGAAUAGUUAAAAAAAAGUAAGUGCCAAGUAGGACCAAACCUCUACUCCACAUUUGAGCUUAAGAAUUUUCUUUGCAACAGCUCCUGCAGCUACCCUUCCAAUGGUUUCUCUUGCUGAUGACCUUCCACCUCCCUAUUAUACAGUUCACAUAGAAAAUUGUUCAACUCAACUAUUCAAGUACAGAAAACACCCACAUGUAAAGUUGUAGCAGAAAAGCUGCAGCAGUUAGUGCAUCACUGUGAUAACUGAUCUAUACACCUUAUAUAUGUAUGACAACAGGUACCUGAACAGAUCUAACACCGUACUUGAGGUCAUAAGUUAAAUCCGCAUGGGAAGGUCUGUAUGCCUUAGCCAUUUCAGUGUAAUCCUGUGGAACCAAAUAUGAUUGUGAAACAAAAGGGUCAGUGCCAACAAUUAUUGCCCUUCCAUGAGUAUAGUUAUUAUAAAUCUUAUACUAGAUACUUACACCCCCUCUUUGAUCCGUGUUUGGGACAAAAACAUGAAUCGGCGUCCCAGUGGUCAUUCCUGCAGAAAAUACAUUCAGCCUUGUCAUAAAACUGAUGCAAACUAAUGCAUUCUUAUUUAAAAAUCAAAUUCACCAAGGAUAUCCCAUGUCUUGAAAUGUACCCUACCUUCAUAUGUCCCUGAAAGAAUUUUACAAGUAUCGGUCUCCUUCCUUGGGGUUGUUAUUCUGCUCUGACCUGGCCGCCUGUGAUAAUCAACCUCUUCGUAUUAGUUUACAUCAUGGAAAUAUCUAAUGAUUAUAUCUCCAAGAGGUUAACAGAAUGCAUUUGCAAUGUCCUAAUUCUGGCAGCAGCUGGAAAACUAAUGAAAUCUUGAAGCACACCUUCGAUCAAGGUCUCCUUGCAUGUCUUCCUCGGUGAGUGGGAUUCUGGGUGGACAACCACUGAUAACGCAGCCAACGCCACCUCCGUGAGACUCUCCAUAAGUUGCAACCUGGAAGUAGUCCCCGAAGAUAUUUCCAGCCGCCUUCACCUCUGUUCUCCAAUUGACAAAGCAACACAUGUCAGAGUUAGCUCUUUUAUGGUUCUCGUUCAAAGACAACUGCAGUUAUGCAGCCAUGCCGACCAUCUCAGAAUUCACAUAAAACGUACAAAUGCAGGAUACAAAAAAUAACAGCAUUGGAACUAGGUGCUGUCACAACCCCUGAGAUCUCAAAACAACAAUAGAGAUGCAACAGUGAACCUGUACUGAGCUAUGGGUGAUAUGGCCAAACAAUCAUCUUUGAAAUUGCGAUCGCGGAAAUACGGUCCCGAAAAUGGCAUCAGAAAGACGGCUUUUCUCUACAUAACAGUUCACAAACCCUCUUCUCCAUGCCACGAACGACGGCCAUACUAUACUAUCAGGCAGCAGCUGACCAAGCAAUCCUAAGCUCGCCUUAAGGCAAUCAACCAGUUACCCCCAACCCCAUAAACGGAGCAGACACGGCGAAGCGCGUUCUAACGACGGGAAUCGAGGAGGCGCGGAGCAGCGGGACGGACCUAGGCGGGCGGCGCGGCGGCGGCCGACGGAGAAGCGGACGGAGGCGGGGGCGGAGUCCGUGAGCGCCCGGAACCCGCCGCGGGGGAGGGAGCUCCAGGGCGCCCCGGCGGCGAGCUGGUGCGACGUGGGCGCGGCUGCCAUUGGAGGGGGGUGGUAGAUUGGUUGGUCUGGUUACGGUUGGUGAGGCGGAACGGAGGAGGAAGGAGAGGGGGUGGACUCUAAAUACGCGACGGAGAGGCGCCACCUACCUACCCCCUGGCUCCGGCGGCUCGGCUCGGGUCUGGUGGUCUGGUUUGGUUUCGUGCUGUAUGCCGCACCUACGACGACGAGACCGGAGGCCCCGGUCCGGUGCGCGUUGGUGAGCGGAUUGACUCGCUAAGCACAACACAAAGCUUUUCUUUUUUUGCGACUAAACGCAAGACAAAGUUUUUUUUAUACAAUAAUAAUGACCGGCCCUCUAAAUGGACGGGCCGGCCGGGUCGAGCCGCUUGUCCCCGCGCGGGCCGAGCUAGAGCUGCUCCGCUCCUACGCGGGUGGAACAGUGGCGAUGACCGAAGCUACUCUGCCCUCUUGGAGUUGUCCGCGCGGGGGCAUGGUAGGAAAAGCCGAUUGCCUAUUCACCUUCAUUGGUGUGACCUGUUGGUGGGGAGAUCCCUUUUUCUCUCCGGUGCCUUUGACGUUAUACAAUGACGACUUGGUGGUCCGUGAUAUUAAGUAUCGGUCUUUGACCAUGAAGGAGCCAAAAUGAUCGUUGUUGCCAUUUGUAUUAAUGCCAUGCUCCUCAAGGAGAGCAUCGAAGCUUCGCGCCUAUGAAACGAGAAGAAGGCCGAGGGGGGAACCCUAGACGGAGAUCUAAAGCGAACUCGGAUCUCCCAGGCCCUCGCCGUCCUGCAUGAUUCUAACGCAUCUAUGGUCGGCUCCUCUCCCGACUCUGAUUUUGACAGGCCCGACGACGACCCCUGUGCCAUCUUUGAGCUCUACUACUGCCAUAAAGAUGCUAAGGGGAAAGGCAAACGCCGAUGAAGAUCCUUCCACUUUGUUGCCGGACAUGCACGGAGACAAAUGGGAGGCUCAAAUGGUCAUUUGUGGUUGGGGAUGAUAUUAGUCUGAACAGGUUGAAGUUUCAUCAUAAUCUCUAUUAAGGACAAUCCAAUAUAUAACAAUUAGAUAAUAGUGGAGUGGAAGAAGUUCCAAUUGAUGAGCAACACAUACAUACAUAUAUUAACAUGGCUAAUCUUUGGAUUUCCAGCUUUUUUUAGUUUUUUUAACUGGCUCUUGGGAGAUUAUGUGGGACCGUUUCUCUUAUGAGGAUUGGGCGGGGUAAAAACUAUCAUGUUGCGAUUGUUCUCUCUGCUCGAUGCAUUUUUCUCGAACCAUUUCCAUCGCUUUCUAUGCAUAUCUCCCUUUUUCUUUUAGCAUGGUGCUCUCUCCCUAGCUUCUUCCACGAAGAUUGUUAGUGGAAAGGCGAAACCCUGGAUUAAACCGAGCAGAAUAUCCUCGGCAAACCGUCAUAAAAAAAUGGAGCCAUCACUUGUAUUAUGUGAUCUUCUCACUCAAUACAUGAAGGAGCAUAAAACAUAAGAAGGGUGGAUCUAGAGACAUUGAAUUCAAAGAGCCUCUAUUAGAAAAUGAUCACAUAAAUAUUGAUAUUGUUGCGUCUCCUCGCAACAAGGAAACCAUUUGAUAUUUUAUCCAUUUGUAUACAACAUGGUAGCAAUUUUUGUUUCUCGUGGUUUCUCGAAAACACUGCGAAGAACUGACACAAACAUGCAAACUUUUGUACACAACAAAUUUCACCCGUUGUAGUUAUUGAGAAAAAUGGGUUGCAUAUCAAACAUGAAAACUGAUCAUACACUAUAAACCAAAAAUACCUUUUGCAACAUGGGCGCAACAUCGGACACCUAGAAUGUUGGCGUGCGUACGAAGCAAAACACAUAUACUAGCUUGUAACAUGUUGGCAUGUGUAUGAAAUGAGACAUGCGAGCUUGCAUGUCUAAACAACCUCAAAGAUUUCCUAAACUUGCUUACCUAACCAUCAACAUUUGAGGCAGUUGACCUUCCCACUUUUGGACUCAAGACCCCAAAUCUGCCUAGCCAGACAACGUCACCGGAUAUAGCGGGAGUCGAGGUUCCGCUACAAAUCGAACGUCACAUUUUUUUAGCAAUUGAACGCCGAGAUGGCAAAUUAUGUUGUUGCGAGGAUGACAAUUUCCUCUAGCAAGCAUGGCAAAUCCUUGUCAUGUUUAGUUUUUUGCUAGAAAUUGCCAUGCUUGCUAAUGGUAACUAUCAUCCUCGUGAUAACAUAAUUUGCCAUUAAAAAUGUUUAAUUUGCCAUGCUUUUAAACCCAACAUCAGAUUUUUAACAUUUAUGUUAUUCUAAGGCCUCUUUGGUGUACGGGAAUUUGUAAGAAUUCUACUCCUAGAGCCCGUUGGUUUGCAGAAUAGAAUCACAUUUCUGUACAUGAUUGGUUCCAAUCCGACGUAUUUCAAAGUAAAAGAAACUUUAACUCAGACCUAAUGGAAGAGGUCAUAUCAUGUGAAUCGAAUGAUGUCUGUUUUCGUAUCUCUGUUCAUAGGAUCUGGGAUACAAACCAUCUCACUUCUCAUAGCUUUCAUAUUCAAAAAAGGCCUAAACGAAGAGACAAUGUAGCGAUCGAAUGAGUUUUCACGAAAAGAAAAACGAUCCAACUCAAAAGUAGCCUCUUUUUUUUUUUGCCUUUGCUAAGCAUCGGCAAGUGACGAUCUGACGUCUGAAAAAACAGGCAGACGUUGUGACCUUUGGUCCUUGACACCAGCGACAGAUGAUGCUGGUGGAGAGGGUUGGUGGCUCUGUGUUCCUCGUUUAUCACACGUUAAGUUUUUUUUUUUUUUGCGGUAAAUUGGAGCACGCGAUGCCAGCGACAGAUAGAAUACACUCUAUCCUUACACAAGUGGAAUAAUUAUCAUAACUCAUCAGCCACAAACAGAGAACCCACAUAAGAGAAAUGUGUCAACCUCAAGGUAAUUUAUGAUAUGAUAGAAAUUACGAGACUUUGUACAAACCUGGAGGCACCUUCCGUGCCUCUUUCCCCCCUCCCCCGACAGAGGAAACCAGGCAGGCACGAGGCACACCCCCAACCCUGCUGCAACUUCUUCAGCUAGCCAACAGCACACGCAUGAACGUAUAAGAUGUCCUCAUCCCGGCAUCUGCAGGGCUCCCCGCCGGGAGUCGGCGAGCCGCUUCGGGGUGCCAGAAGCUUUACAACACGCUUUACAUACACUACAGGUAACCGAGGCGAGUUUAACAGUUACACCCCGUAUGCUCAGACGAAGUGAGCACCCUGCAGGGGGAGAAGGCCCGAAGACCGCAAUCUAGAAGCAUAUAGUGUUUUUACGCUGUUCGUGAUAGGCUGUAGCUACAUCUCUUCCUGAUGCAGAGCAGGGGGUGGAGGUAGCGGAG
rnacentral:lncRNA from 1 species